rnacentral:rRNA from 1 species
ACCUCUGUUCGAGUGAG